UAUAAAAUUAAUUGCUAUACUUUAUAUAUUAUAUAUAAAAUUAAUUAAACAUUUAUCGACAGUUUCGUUUAACAAAAAAAAAAAAAAAAAAACCCUAACCUAUCUAACUUAAGAAGUACGUUUAACGACAGUUUCGUUUAACAAAAAAAAAAAAAAAAUAACCCUAACCUAUCUAACUUAAGAAGUACGUUUAACGACAGUUUCGUUUAACAAAAAAAAAAAAAAAUAACCCUAACCUAUCUAACUUAAGAAGUACGUUUAACGACAGUUUCGUUUAACAAAAAAAAAAAAAAAAAAAUAACCCUAACCUAUCUAACUUAAGAAGUACGUUUAACGACAGUUUCGUUUAACAAAAAAAAAAAAAAAUAACCCUAACCUAUCUAACUUAAGAAGUACUACGUUUAACGACAGUUUCGUUUAACAAAAAAAAAAAAAAAAAAAAAAAAAUAACCCUAACCUAUUUAACUUAAGAAGUACGUUUAACGACAGUUUCGUUUAACAAAAAAAAAAAAAAAAUAACCCUAACCUAUCUAACUUAAGAAGUACGUUUAACGACAGUUUCGUUUAACAAAAAAAAAAAAAAAAAAUAACCCUAACCUAUCUAACUUAAGAAGUACGUUUAACGACAGUUUCGUUUAACAAAAAAAAAAAAAAUAACCCUAACCUAUCUAACUUAAGAAGUACGUUUAACGACAGUUUCGUUUAACAAAAAAAAAAAAAAAAAAUAACCCUAACCUAUCUAACUUAAAAAGUACGUUUAACGACAGUUUCGUUUAACAAAAAAAAAAAAAAAAAAAUAACCCUAACCUAUCUAACUUAAGAAGUACA
rnacentral:misc_RNA from 1 species